rnacentral:rRNA from 1 species
ACAGAGGGUGCGAGCGUUAAUCGGAUUUACUGGGCGUAAAGCGUGCGCAGGAGGCUUUUUAAGUCGGAUGUGAAAUCCCCGAGCUUAACUUAGGAAUUGCAUUUGAGACUGGGAAGCUAGAGUAUGGGAGAGGAUGGUAGAAUUCCAGGUGUAGCGGUGAAAUGCGUAGAGAUCUGGAGGAAUACCGGUGGCGAAGGCAGCCAUCUGGCCUAAUACUGACGCUCAUGUACGAAAGCGUGGGGAGCAAACAG